rnacentral:rRNA from 1 species
GUGAGUAACACGUGAGUAACCUGCCCUUGACUCUGGGAUAAGCCUGGGAAACUGGGUCUAAUACCGGAUAUGACUCCUCAUCGCAUGGUGGGGGGUGGAAAGCUUUUGUGGUUUUGGAUGGACUCGCGGCCUAUCAGCUUGUUGGUGAGGUAAUGGCUCACCAAGGCGACGACGGGUAGCCGGCCUGAGAGGGUGACCGGCCACACUGGGACUGAGACACGGCCCAGACUCCUACGGGAGGCAGCAGUGGGGAAUAUUGCACAAUGGGCGCAAGCCUGAUGCAGCGACGCCGCGUGAGGGAUGACGGCCUUCGGGUUGUAAACCUCUUUCAGUAGGGAAGAAGCGAAAGUGACGGUACCUGCAGAAGAAGCGCCGGCUAACUACGUGCCAGCAGCCGCGGUAAUACGUAGGGCGCAAGCGUUAUCCGGAAUUAUUGGGCGUAAAGAGCUCGUAGGCGGUUUGUCGCGUCUGCCGUGAAAGUCCGGGGCUCAACUCCGGAUCUGCGGUGGGUACGGGCAGGCUAGAGUGAUGUAGGGGAGACUGGAAUUCCUGGUGUAGCGGUGAAAUGCGCAGAUAUCAGGAGGAACACCGAUGGCGAAGGCAGGUCUCUGGGCAUUAACUGACGCUGAGGAGCGAAAGCAUGGGGAGCGAACAGGAUUAGAUACCCUGGUAGUCCAUGCCGUAAACGUUGGGCACUAGGUGUGGGGGACAUUCCACGUUUUCCGCGCCGUAGCUAACGCAUUAAGUGCCCCGCCUGGGGAGUACGGCCGCAAGGCUAAAACUCAAAGGAAUUGACGGGGGCCCGCACAAGCGGCGGAGCAUGCGGAUUAAUUCGAUGCAACGCGAAGAACCUUACCAAGGCUUGACAUGGACCGGACCGCCGCAGAGAUGUGGUUUCUCCUUUUGGGGCCGGUUCACAGGUGGUGCAUGGUUGUCGUCAGCUCGUGUCGUGAGAUGUUGGGUUAAGUCCCGCAACGAGCGCAACCCUCGUUCCAUGUUGCCAGCGCGUAAUGGCGGGGACUCAUGGGAGACUGCCGGGGUCAACUCGGAGGAAGGUGGGGACGACGUCAAAUCAUCAUGCCCCUUAUGUCUUGGGCUUCACGCAUGCUACAAUGGCCGGUACAAAGGGUUGCGAUACUGUGAGGUGGAGCUAAUCCCAAAAAGCCGGUCUCAGUUCGGAUUGGGGUCUGCAACUCGACCCCAUGAAGUCGGAGUCGCUAGUAAUCGCAGAUCAGCAACGCUGCGGUGAAUACGUUCCCGGGCCUUGUACACACC